GGCACCAUGGCUCUGCUGGCUAAAGUGCCUGCUCUAUAAACAGGAGAUCCUGGGUUCAAAUUGCAGUGAUGCCU
rnacentral:tRNA from 1 species